rnacentral:rRNA from 1 species
AUUGAACGCUGGCGGCAGGCUUAACACAUGCAAGUCGAGCGGAGAGAGGUAGCUUGCUACUGAUCUUAGCGGCGGACGGGUGAGUAAUGCUUAGGAAUCUGCCUAUUAGUGGGGGACAACAUUUCGAAAGGAAUGCUAAUACCGCAUACGUCCUACGGGAGAAAGCAGGGGAUCUUCGGACCUUGCGCUAAUAGAUGAGCCUAAGUCGGAUUAGCUAGUUGGUGGGGUAAAGGCCGACCAAGGCGACGAUCUGCAGCGGGUCUGAGAGGAUGAUCCGCCACACUGGGACUGAGACACGGCCCAGACUCCUACGGGAGGCAGCAGUGGGGAAUAUUGGACAAUGGGCGCAAGCCUGAUCCAGCCAUGCCGCGUGUGUGAAGAAGGCCUUAUGGUUGUAAAGCACUUUAAGCGAGGAGGAGGCUACUUUAGUUAAUACCUAGAGAUAGUGGACGUUACUCGCAGAAUAAGCACCGGCUAACUCUGUGCCAGCCGCCGCGGUAACAC